rnacentral:misc_RNA from 1 species
AAAAUGCGAUAAGUAAUGUGAAUUGCAGAAUUCAGUGAAUCAUCGAAUCUUUGAACGCACAUUGUGCCCGCCAGUAUUCUGGCGGGCAUGCCUGUUCGAGCGUCAUUUCAACCCUCACGCCCCCGGGUUUGGUGUUGGGGAUCGGGCUGCGGUUCUACCGCGUCCCGGCCCCGAAAUCUAGUGGCGGUCUCGCUGCAGCCUCCAUUGCGUAGUAGCUAACACCUCGCAACUGGAACGCGGCGCGGCCAAGCCGUUAAACCCCCAACUUCUGAAUGUUGACCUCGGAUCAGGUAGGAAUACCCGCUGAACUUAAGC